rnacentral:misc_RNA from 1 species
GAUGAAGAACGCAGCGAAAUGCGAUAAGUAAUGUGAAUUGCAGAAUUCAGUGAAUCAUCGAAUCUUUGAACGCACAUUGCGCCCCCUGGUAUUCCGGGGGGCAUGCCUGUCCGAGCGUCAUUACAACCCUCAAGCUCAGCUUGGUGUUGGGCCCCGCCGCCCCGGCGGGCCCUAAAGUCAGUGGCGGUGCCGUCCGGCUCCGAGCGUAGUAAUUCUUCUCGCUCUGGAGGCCCGGUCGUGUGCUCGCCAGCAACCCCCAAUUUUUUUCAGGUUGACCUCGGAUCAGGUAGGGAUACCCGCUGAACUUAAGCAUAUCAAUAAGCGGAGA